CUUCAGAGAUCCUGAUAGAGAUGACGAAGAGUCCUGUGGUGGCUAUAAUCCACAUUAAACCAUCAUCAUUUCAUCUCACUGCAUUUCAUUGCAUAUUGCUUAAGUUUUUUUGGAUUAGUUGUACAAUAUAUGUCUUGGCUUAUGUAAUUUCCAAACACUUCCUACUACUUAAAUGCUUAUUACUUUCUGUUUACUUCUGAUGUUAUUGCCCACAUUUGUCAUUCUUUGUGAGUG
rnacentral:lncRNA from 1 species